GCAUGCUGCGACAAGGUAUGGCUGGGCCUGGUGAUGAAGUGUAAGCAGAACAUGCUAUGCUGCGAAUUGGUGCCAAUCUUCACAUCCGAGUUGUUCCCACGACAGUCAAGCACCACUGUGAUUUGCUUCAUUGGCAAGGUGCCCUGCAAGCUCUCACCAAAGCAACACAUUCCACUGGUUUUCUGUCAGAGUACCAUUAUAGAAUUUCGAAUAAACUAUGCUUGUCAGAUGUGUGACAUGCCCCGUCUUAAAAUAA